UUCAGGUGAUUCUGAUAGUCAAAGAAGAAAAGAGGCAGUGAAUGGCAGGUUAAACAUGUUAUCUAUAAAAUACACUCACUGCCCACUUCAUUAGGUACAUCAGUUUACAUGCUUGAUAAUGCAAAUAUGUAAUUAGCCAAUCACAUGGCAGUAAGCCAGUGCAUUUGAUCAUGUAGACGUGAUCGAGUCGACCUGCUGAAGUUCAAGUGGCGUCAGAAUAUGGAAGAAAGGUGUUUUAAGUGACUCUGUAUCUGGUCUGUUUAUUUUAGAAACUGCUGGUCUACUGUGAUUUUCCACCAUAACCAUCUCUAGAGUUUACAGAGAAUGGUCUGAAAAAGAGAAAAUAUCCAGUCGUAGCCAGUUCUCUGGGUGAAAAUGUCUUGUUGAUGCCAAAGGUCAGAGGAGAAUAGUUCAAGCUGAUAGUAAAACAACAGUAACUCAAAUAACCAUGUGUUACAACUGAGAUAUGCAGAAGAGCCUCUCUCAACACACAGCACACCGGACUUUGAAGCAGAUGGGCUACAGCAGCAGCUGACCAUAACGUGUACUGCUCCUGUUGCCUAAGAAGAGGAAACUGUGGCUUCAGUUCACACAGGCUCACCAACGCUAGACUGUAGAAGACUGACAAAAAUGUUGCUUGAUCUGAUGAGUCUCGACUCUUGCUGCAACAUUUCUUGCCUUGUAUCAGCACUUCGGGCUGGUGGUGGGGGUAUGAUGUUCCAGAAGGGUAUUUUCUUGGCACACUUUGAGUGUGCUGACCAUUCUUUAAAUGCCAAAGUGUACCAAAGUAUUGUUGCUAAACAUGUCCAUCCCUUUAUCGCUGCAGCACCAGUGGGAUGCUGUCACAUCAAUAUGGACCAAAUUUUUUGAGGAAUGUUUCCAGCACCUUCAUAAAUCUAUGCCACGAAGGAUUAAGGCAGCUUUGAAUGUUAAAGGGGGUCCCGCUCAGUACUAGCAAGAUGUAACUGUCAUGGUCCCUGUGCCUCGCUGGUCGACCCUCUAUUAGGCAAUAUGUUUGUGGUUUUUUGCUCUCUCCCCCUCUCGCUCUUUCUCUCUCUCUCGCCAUGGCGACGCUCAUUGCGGGCUCCCGCUGCUGGCCCACACACCUGCUCUCAUCACCGCACCGGCCGCUGAUCCCAGCUGAUUACUGCACUUCUUAAGAUGGCGAGUCUGCGCUAGUCUUCGCUGGAUCGUUGAGCUAUCAGCAUCGUUUUUGGAACCGGAUUCUGAGAGGAGUGACUGAGGAGGAGGAGCUUUUGUACAGAAAGUGUGGAGCACUUUUCCCCUAACCCUGUUUCCCACGGACCCUGGCGACCCUUUCCCCUGCAUAUAUAGCCACUUGGAGAUUGUGUUCACCGUAAAUAAACGCACUGUUCUUCGCUUAAAGGAA